rnacentral:sRNA from 1 species
CACUGACCCGCGCUCUGCGCUCUCUGAACCUGGCGCCCCCGACCGUCGCCGCCCCUGCCCCGAGUCUGUUCCCCGCCGCCCAGAUGAUGAACAAUGGCCUCCUCCAACAGCCCUCUGCCUUGAUGUUGCUCCCCUGCCGCCCAGUUCUUACUUCUGUGGCCCUUAAUGCCAACUUUGUGUCCUGGAAGAGUUGUACCAAGUACACCAUUACACCAGUGAAGAUGAGGAAGUCUGGGGGCCGAGACCACACAGGCCGAAUCCGGGUGCAUGGUAUUGGCGGGGGCCACAAGCAACGUUAUCGAAUGAUUGACUUUCUGCGUUUCCGGCCUGAGGAGACCAAGUCAGGACCCUUUGAGGAGAAGGUUAUCCAAGUCCGCUAUGAUCCCUGUAGGUCAGCAGACAUAGCUCUGGUUGCUGGGGGCAGCCGGAAACGCUGGAUCAUCGCCACGGAAAACAUGCAGGCUGGAGAUACAAUCUUGAACUCUAACCACAUAGGCCGAAUGGCAGGUGAGAGAUGGCUACCAGAUGUGUGGGCUGGAGGCAGCAAAGGUUCUAGAGCUAAUGAAAUCCUGUCUUUUAGUUGCUGCUCGGGAAGGGGAUGCGCAUCCUCUUGGGGCUCUGCCUGUGGGGACCCUCAUCAACAACGUGGAAAGUGAGCCAGGCCGGGGUGCCCAAUAUAUCCGAGCUGCAGGGACGUGUGGUGUGCUACUGCGGAAGGUGAAUGGCACAGCCAUUAUCCAGCUGCCCUCUAAGAGGCAGAUGCAG